GUGAUAGCUCAGUUAGUAGAGCAAGAGACUCUUAAUCUCAGGAUUGUGGGUCCGAGCCCCAUGUUGAACA